rnacentral:rRNA from 1 species
GAUGAACGCUGGCGGCGUGCCUAAUACAUGCAAGUCGAGCGAACGGACGAGAAGCUUGCUUCUCUGAUGUUAGCGGCGGACGGGUGAGUAACACGUGGAUAACCUACCUAUAAGACUGGGAUAACUUCGGGAAACCGUAGCUAAUACCGGAUAAUAUUUUGAACCGCAUGGUUCAAAAGUGAAAGACGGUCUUGCUGUCACUUAUAGAUGGAUCCGCGCUGCAUUAGCUAGUUGGUAAGGUAACGGCUUACCAAGGCAACGAUGCAUAGCCGACCUGAGAGGGUGAUCGGCCACACUGGAACUGAGACACGGGCCAGACUCCUACGGGAGGCAGCAGUAGGGAAUCUUCCGCAAUGGGCGAAAGCCUGACGGAGCAACGCCGCGUGAGUGAUGAAGGUCUUCGGAUCGUAAAACUCUGUUAUUAGGGAAGAACAUAUGUGUAAGUAACUGUGCACAUCUUGACGGUACCUAAUCAGAAAGCCACGGCUAACUACGU